rnacentral:rRNA from 1 species
AGGGUUCGAUUCUGGCUCAGGAUGAACGCUGGCGGCGUGCUUAACACAUGCAAGUCGAACGGGAUCCAUCAGGCUUUGCUUGGUGGUGAGAGUGGCGAACGGGUGAGUAAUGCGUGACCGACCUGCCCCAUACACCGGAAUAGCUCCUGGAAACGGGUGGUAAUGCCGGAUGCUCCAGUUGAUCGCAUGGUCUUCUGGGAAAGCUUUCGCGGUAUGGGAUGGGGUCGCGUCCUAUCAGCUUGACGGCGGGGUAACGGCCCACCGUGGCUUCGACGGGUAGCCGGCCUGAGAGGGCGACCGGCCACAUUGGGACUGAGAUACGGCCCAGACUCCUACGGGAGGCAGCAGUGGGGAAUAUUGCACAAUGGGCGCAAGCCUGAUGCAGCGACGCCGCGUGAGGGAUGGAGGCCUUCGGGUUGUAAACCUCUUUUAUCGGGGAGCAAGCGAGAGUGAGUUUACCCGUUGAAUAAGCACCGGCUAACUACGUGCCAGCAGCCGCGGUAAUACGUAGGGUGCAAGCGUUAAUCGGAAUUACUGGGCGUAAAGGGUGCGCAGGCGGCUGUGCAAGACAGAUGUGAAAUCCCCGGGCUUAACCUGGGAACUGCAUUUGUGACUGCACGGCUAGAGUUUGUCAGAGGAGGGUGGAAUUCCGCGUGUAGCAGUGAAAUGCGUAGAUAUGCGGAAGAACACCAAUGGCGAAGGCAGCCCUCUGGGACAUGACUGACGCUCAUGCACGAAAGCGUGGGGAGCAAACAGGAUUAGAUACCCUGGUAGUCCACGCCCUAAACGAUGUCAGCUGAUUGUUCGGGAAGCAAUUCCUGGGUAACCAAGCCAACGCGUGAAGCUGACCGCCUGGGAAGUACGGUCGCAAGAUUAAAACUCAAAGGAAUUGACGGGGACCCGCACAAGCGGUGGAUGAUGUGGAUUAAUUCGACGCAACGCGAAAAACCUUACCUAGCCUUGACAUGUCAGGAAUCCGGAUGAAAGUCUGGAGUGCCCGCAAGGGAGCCUGAACACAGGUGCUGCAUGGCUGUCGUCAGCUCGUGUCGUGAGAUGUUGGGUUAAGUCCCGCAACGAGCGCAA